rnacentral:rRNA from 1 species
GACGAAGGAUGCAAGCGUUAUCCGGAUUCAUUGGGUUUAAAGGGAGCGUAGGUGGCCUUAUAAGUCAGUGGUGAAAUCUCUCGGCUUAACUGAGAAAUUGCCAUUGAUACUGUAGGGCUUGAGUACAGUUGCUGUGGGCGGAAUAUGACAUGUAGUGGUGAAAUACAUAGAGAUGUCAUAGAACACCGAUUGCGAAGGCAGCUCACAAAAACUGUAACUGACACUGAGGCUCGAAAUGCGGGGACAAACAGG